rnacentral:rRNA from 1 species
ACGGAGGGUGCAAGCGUUGUUCGGAAUUACUGGGCGUAAAGGGCGUGUAGGCGGCUGAUUAAGUCAGAUGUGAAAGCCCUGGGCUCAACCCAGGAAGUGCAUUUGAAACUGGUCAGCUAGAGUACGGGAGAGGAAGGUGGAAUUCCUGGUGUAGCGGUGAAAUGCGUAGAUAUCGAGAGGAACACCGAUGGCGAAGGCAGCUUUUUAGCCCGUUCCUGACGCUGAGGCGCGAAAGCGUGGGGAGCAAACAG